AGAGUCUGAUCCUGGCUCAGGACGAACGCUGGCGGCGUGCUUAACACAUGCAAGCCGAACGGAAAGGCCCUGCUUGCAGGGUACUCGAGUGGCGAACGGGUGAGUAACACGUGGGUGAUCUGCCCUGCACUUCGGGAUAAGCCUGGGAAACUGGGUCUAAUACCGGAUAGGAGCCAUUUUUAGUGUGAUGGUUGGAAAGUUUUUUCGGUGUAGGAUGAGCUCGCGGCCUAUCAGCUUGUUGGUGGGGUAAUGGCCUACCAAGGCGGCGACGGGUAGCCGGCCUGAGAGGGUGGACGGCCACACUGGGACUGAGAUACGGCCCAGACUCCUACGGGAGGCAGCAGAAGGG
rnacentral:rRNA from 1 species